AAGUGCAAUCUUACAAAUCGUCCUAUACACCGCAUUAUUUUCCUAUUUAUUAGUUUCUUAGUAAUGUGAUUCAAUAAUGUUUAUAUACAUAGUUGAUGGAUUAUUGUUGUUGUACAUAUUGAGACAUAUUGAAUGGAAACCACCUCCUGCAUUGAAUCAUGCAAAGUAAAUAAAUUAAUUGUGUUUGCUGGAGUUGGAGAGUGGAUCUGGUAGUUUAACGGUGGGAGCCUUAUCCACACCCCUCCUUGAAUAUUCCGUCCAUCUUCUCGCAGCUGCGGCAGCCCUUUUUGCUCUC
rnacentral:lncRNA from 1 species